rnacentral:rRNA from 1 species
CCCUUAGAUGUUCUGGGCCGCACGCGCGCUACACUGUUCGACGCAGCGAGUCUUAACCUUGACCGAAAGGUUUGGGUAAUCUUCAGCAAAGUCGAACGUGAUGGGGAUCGAUCAUUGCAAUUAUUGAUCGUGAACGAGGAAUUCCUAGUAAGUGCAAGUCAUCAGCUUGCGCUGAUUACGUCCCUGCCCUUUGUACACACCGCCCGUCGCUACUACCGAUUGAAUGGUUUAGUGAGAUCUCCGGAUUGACGCUGGCUAGGGGGCGACCCUUGGCCAGACUGUUGAGAAACUGCUCAAACUUGAUCAUUUAGAGGAAGUAAAAGUCGUAACA